rnacentral:lncRNA from 1 species
CUUGCUUAACCAGCGUUACGCUUCUCUUGAACUCAUCUGUUUCAGUUGCCAAAUAUGUUUUCAAUAGUAAUGGGAAAGUCACAAAGGAUAUGGUUAGAAUUAAGGAUUAUUACUAUUCGGAUGAAAUACAGAUCUUCAAAGUAUCUGCCUCAUAUCUUCAAGUGGAAACAUACAAUCACAUAAAAAUGCAAAUACAGAUAGUUCCCGUAAUGCAAUUAUAUAUUUCCAUGCCACCCAAGC